rnacentral:rRNA from 1 species
AUUGAACGCUGGCGGCAUGCUUUACACAUGCAAGUCGAACGGUAGCAGGUUAAGCUGACGAGUGGCGAACGGGUGAGUAAUGCAUCGGAACGUGCCCGAUCGUGGGGGAUAACGCAGCGAAAGCUGCGCUAAUACCGCAUACGAUCUGAGGAUGAAAGCGGGGGACCGUAAGGCCUCGCGCGAUCGGAGCGGCCGAUGUCAGAUUAGGUAGUUGGUGGGGUAAAGGCCCACCAAGCCGACGAUCUGUAGCUGGUCUGAGAGGACGACCAGCCACACUGGGACUGAGACACGGCCCAGACUCCUACGGGAGGCAGCAGUGGGGAAUUUUGGACAAUGGGCGAAAGCCUGAUCCAGCAAUGCCGCGUGCAGGAAGAAGGCCUUCGGGUUGUAAACUGCUUUUGUACGGAGCGAAAAGGUCCUUUCUAAUACAAGGGGCUCAUGACGGUACCGUAAGAAUAAGCACCGGCUAACUACGUGCCAGCAGCCGCCGUAAUAC